CUUAAAUGUAGAGUGCAUUUCUAGAGAUGGAAUCCUUCGGGCUUUCUGCAAGGUGCUGCAUGGUUGUCGUCAGCUCGUGCCGUGAGGUGUCGGGUUAAGUCCCAUAACGAGCGCAACCCUUAUCGUUAGUUGCCAUCUGGUAAAGCAGGGGACUCUAGCGAAACUGCCACCGUAAGGUGAGAGGAAGUGGGAUGACGUCAAAUCAGCACGGCCCUUAUGUCCAGGGCUACACACGUGUUACAAUGGCCGGUACAGAGGGCAGCUACCUGGUGACAGGAUGCUAAUCUCGAAAACCGGUCUCAGUUCGGAUCGAAGUCUGCAACUCGACUUCGUGAAGUCGGAAUCGCUAGUAAUCGCAGAUCAGCAUGCUGCGGUGAAUACGUUCCCGGGUCUU
rnacentral:rRNA from 1 species